UCAAGAAACAUGGGAAUUAGUCAUUGACUUAACACCCAUCUCAUGGUUCUAGUGAUGGGAAGUGUACUCAUUGUGGCAGUACUUGCCAUCUUGCGGAGAAGUGUUUUCAGAAGAACGGAUUUCUCGAGUGGUGGGAUAGCUAUAAAGAGAGAAGGGCUAGUGAGAGUCGUGACAACAGCACCAGCUAGAAAAGAGGCAAAGCUGCUGCUUGUACUGCUGAACCGGCACCUCUUGCUGCCGCCGCAUCUCCCAUGGUGUUCGUCACCCUUUCUCAUUCAGUGGUAGAUACUUCCCUUCUCCAACAAUUAGGUAAUAUUGGCAUGGGUCUCCUUGCUACUUAUUCUAAAAAGGAUCAUGGUUGAAUUCUUGAUUCUGGAGCUACUGAUCAUAUGACGUUUGUUGUGUCUCUCUUUCAC
rnacentral:lncRNA from 1 species